CCUGGACAGACAUUCAUCCCCACGGCAGGUCAGUGCCUGGAGACCUGGCCCUGACCCUUUCCUCCCAUGCGUUAAGGGCUGCAACCAGCCGGAGUGUGUCAGUCUUAUAGGAGCCGAUGAAGCCUGUGCUUGGAGUUUCAGGGGUCUCAGCUCAGCUCAGGGACCCUGCCACUACUUUCCUCCCUCACCCUCCCAUCAGCCCCUGCUGGGCUCACGCUGCACAUCCGGGUGCAGGAUCAUGAGCAGCAGGGCCCAGGCCAGCGUGGUCGAAGUGGUCACCAUCCCUGCCGUGAACAGCCCAGAUGCUGGCUCACUGGGAGGUGCCCAGGCCCCACCUUGCCUCAUGCCUCAUAGGACGCCCAUCUCGGAGCCCUUCUCUGACGGCCACCUCUUACCUUCUCCAUCUCGGUCAGGAAGGUGUCAGUCAGGUCUUUGGGUGGCUGGGCUGGGUCCCAGGUCAUCCUGUGCUCAGUCAGCAGCUCGUCCAGCAGAUCCAUGAAGGCCUUCUGUCCGGGAAAGACCUUGCCUGGAAGGCCGGGGAUGCGCAGGAGGAUGGGGACCGAGUUCAGCACCUGGGACAGCACAGAGAGCAUCCUGGGUCCUUCCUGACAUAAGUGCUCACCUGGACCAGCCUCAGGCCCCAGCCUUCUCUGGGCUGGAUCCAGGGCCUCCUCCACACUCUGUCCGGGCUGGGGCUGCCAAAAGCAACAUCCUAUCCUGGAAAUCUACAAGUGUCGGUGUCUCCCAAGGACAGGAGAUGCAGACUCGGCCCCCUCUGGAGCCCAAACCUGGACACCUCUCCCACUGUUGUGACAUUUGUCACCUCCAGGCCUUUCCUCCUGCAGCAACCUCUCCUAGAAUGCCCUCUCCUCUUCACCCCCUCACCCACCGCAGGGUCCUCUCCUGCCCAGCCUCCCCUGUGUCCUGCACCUUGGGUAAGAUGCCAGACUCUUCCUUCAACAUGUCUUCCAGCAGCUCCAGCAGCCUGACCAAGCGCAGGUCGUCAUACUCGAAGCGGCGGGCAUAGAUGAGAGAGGCAAUCACAUUGCACAUGGCUUUGUUCAGGAGGGCACUGGGGCUAAAGGGGCGUCCUGGGAAUAGGGAUGUGGGGUGUCCCUGUCGCAGUCCGCCCCCUCCUCCCCACCCCUUCCUUCUACCCUUCUUUGCUCCCCUGAGCCCAGCACCUACCGUCCUGGUUGGCAAAGGCGGCACAGAGGCAGGCGGCCUCCUCGGUCACCCACUGCUCCAGCGACUUCUUACCCAGCCCGAAGUUGCGCAGAGUGGACACGGAGAAGCGGCGCAGCUCACGCCAGGCGGGUCCGUAGUGUGCCAGGAUCAGCCCUGGGGCAGCACACCAACAUGUUGUAGAAGUCCACCUGCAGCAGGUUGCCCAGCCCGGGCACUGGCACGGGGCCUGGCGGGUAGUGAGCAGCCCAGCGCUGUCGCCGAUGCAUCAGGUCCACCAGCAGCACGAAGACGGCCACGGCCACGGCCACAGCAGCCCCACUCAGCAGCCCCAUGGCUGUCUCGUGGACCACUGGGCUCCUCUGGAUACACAGAAGCUGUCACCCCUCCACAGACCUAAGGGGCCUGGAAACUGCAUCCUUGGGGGCUGGGACAGGACACCAAUGAUGCUUUCUGGUGACAGAGGAUAAAGGGAGAGGCACCCCAAGAGCACCAUCACCUGGCCUCUAGUAUGAGGUGGACUCAGUGGUACCUGAAUUGUGGCCAUCCAGGAUGAGUGAGCCCCUGGCCAUGAAAGGUAAACUCAGCAGUUGGGAUGCAAAUCCUGUACCUCAUA